GUCGAGAAAUUGUUCAAAGGGGGAACAAAGAAGACCAUUGGUGUGAAGAGAGACAACAGGACGUCCAGAGGAGCCACGAAAAGCUUGGGUUCUUUACUGUUGGCUUUUUGAACUCUGGAGAACCUUCUUGUGCAUAGUAUACCAUCAAUCCAAUUCCAGCUAUUAUUUCAACAAACAUACCAUAAUUGGAGAAAAUGGAUCGUUACUGGGGGCAGACACUAAAGAGGAAGACACCAUUGUAGAAGAUCCUUACUUGGACGUGGAAAUUUCUUCUCUUUAUGUCAAACGGAAGAAAUUUGGCCAUGUUGCUGUGGCCGAGACUCCCGAUUUUGUUGGAGCAAGAUUUGAAUCACGGCUGUGCAAGGUUUUAACAGCACAACCUAAUACCACUUGGCUCUGCAAUGACGACCAAUCUUUCGAAUAUGUCUUAAAGUUGUUCACUUCAAGUUCGAUCCCCGCCAAAACGGUAAAAAACGGGUCCUGUCUCUAUGCCAUUUUUUUGAGGGCCCAAAUGUAAAAAUAGUCAAUUUUAUGAUUUUUUUUUCUUUGCCGACAUGUAAAAUUUUGUAGCAAAUGAAUAUUGCCACUUUUUUCCCAACGAAAUUGUUGGAGAUGCACUUUCUCGAUUAUGAAGGUGCCAUUCCCAAGAUUGAGAAUUUUCUCGAGGAACAAACCCCCAUCGAAGAGAAAAUGCCCAUCUGGGAUUUUCAUGGCAAAUUCCAACAGGGGCAUGUUUGGUGUUGUCGAGAGCAACUGGACACUGGACACUGGCUUGCGAGGGAUAUUUCGUCUGGCUUUUGACCUAUUAAGGGAUCAAGCCAGACUUAAAAAAGAAUUGUACCAAGUGUACAAAAUUCCUCCUUUAAAGUGCUUUUUUCAUCUGUUUUCUACGCCCAACAUAACUCGAGCAGGUUACAAUCAUCGGCUCUACAGGUUGUUCCAUUCACUAAAUCCACGAGCAUCCUCGUCCAAAAUCUAUCCUAUCUCAAGAAACGGCGUGGGAGGCAAGGUCAAUGCUUCUCAUUUAGAGCAAAGGGCGAUCCAGUUCUUGUUGAAAAACAUGGGUUCUCAUGUGAAUGAGGGAGUCUAUCACUUUUGGUCGCCAUACGGCCCAUUCACUUUUGGUCGCUUGACUCCCGAUCUCCUCAUCAAGGCAAAACCGCAAAACCGUGCUUUUUUCAACCAGGCUCUCUCACGAAAGGUCAUGAACGAGAAAAUUGCAAAAUCUUUCCAAAGGACUUGUGUCAGUUAGAGAAAAAUAUUUUUGGGCUCGACUAUGCAGAGAGGAGGGCAUCUUGCCAAGCAACGAUGAACCUUGUUCCCACCGACAUUGAGGUAACUGAGCUCUGGGAGUGCGAGCUUAAAUUUAACCAAAGUUACCAACACUUUGUCCAAUACGAGUUCAAGGAGAAGCCAUUGACAAGACUUCGCCUGGAAGACGCCCUUUCUGGCGGCCUCAACGAGAUUAUACAACUUCAUUGGACUGUGAAAAAGAAACCCGAUGAGAGGUUUGUGGCGUAUGACAUUAAUUCGUUGUACAACUCCAUAGCCAUUGGUACAAAAUUUCCCGUGGGCAAACCUCAGAUUAUCACCGAAAGCGAGGAUAUUCACAUUGAAAACAAUAGAUUUCCUUAUGGGAGCGAAAGGCUGAUUGGAUUGGUGUUUUGUAGGUUAGUGGCCCCUCGUGAAUCAAAACUGGCUACAUUCCCAUUUUACUCGGUCAUCAGCAUCAUUGGGUUUUGUGUUAUGCAUGCCUUCGACAAGAGAAAAAGAUGUAUAUAAGCCUUGUACAAAGGCACGAAGUUUCCGUGGAACAUUCUACGUUGCUCAAGUAGAGUAUGUGCUAGAUAUGGGCUACCAAGCUUUGGAUGCUUUUGAGGCAUUACAUUACCAAAGUCAAGAGUAUUUUGAGAGGCCCUUUUUAUUGUUUUUUGCAAAGAAAAAACUUGAAUCUACUUUGGCAAAUAAGCUUGCAUCGAAAACGGAGAUUUUGGACAUGGAAAACGAAAUUAAUCUUGACAUUCCUGUGCUCAAACUUCGCACUUCUUCGAAUGAGCUAUCCCCUCUGCUUCAAGGAUUUUAUAAAAGGGCUCCCAACGAUAUCUUUGGGAAGUUCAUGGCCAAGCCGGGCUCCAACACCUCAAUUGUGCAUUCCAAUGCAGAAAUCUGCGAUGUCCUUUUUUCAAAGGCAAGACAACUCAGGGACGUCAAUCCAAUCACGGAACCUAUCUGCGAAGUGACAACGGAGUGUAUCACCGAUUGGUCCUUCAUUUGAGGCAACCUGAUGGCUGGAAUGGCCAAUGUUUUGGAAGCUCAAAUGUGUAUGCUACAAAAGAUGACGGCACUAAUGCAAAGGAAUGUCAAUGUAUUGGGAAUUGCCACCGAUUGCUUAUUUCUCAGCUACCCUAAGACACUUGAUCCUCCUGUGGAAGUGAGCUUGACAUUGGGCAAGUUCGAAAAUGCAUAUCCGCGCCAUGAAAAGGAUAAUUGCAUCAAAGAAUUCAUGGCACUCAAUUCGAGGGAUUAUUGCAUCCAAUUCAUGGACGGGCAAAUGGUAGUUAAGCUCGGAGGAUUCAAUCUAACGGCUCCGGUUUCCCGUGAAUCACUCAUGACCCAGUUUGCCUCAAUCAAGAAGGCAAUUUUGGAACGCAGAAGGUCUUGUCUUAAGAUUGAUCAAUUCCGAUUGAGAAAAGGCAUUGGAGUAUCACCGGUUAUAAAGAAAAUUGCGUUCAACUUCAGUCCAUACGUUUCCCGCCGUACUGUGUUUGAAAACAGCGAAGGCGAUUUGAAGACGUUACCAUUAGGAAUAAAGAGUCUCAAAUAACGGCUUUGAAACGGGCAAUGGCUAUUGCCACAAGCCUCUCUUCUUCCUCUUCCUCUUCCUCUUCUUCAAGUGCGGUUGCGGGUGAUGCGGGUGGAGGGGGAGACGGAGUGGCCAAACCAAAGGGCGGAAGCCUCUCUUCCCUUCCAAGUGAAAAGUUUGGAUCGGCCAAAUUGGAUAUGGAUGAAACCGCUCCUUCUCCAGAUGGGCUUUUCCGAGAUGUCACUGCAGUUCUUCCUCGCCUGACAAAACGCCAAAUCCCACAAAUGAGCACAAGCAUCACCAAAGCGGCAAUCGGACAAAACAAGCCGCCCACUCCUAACCAUAAGUCGAAUAUGCCUCCUGGAUCUGCCGAAUGACAAGCAACUGUCCAACAAGGAACGUUACUGAAAUGGAUAAAAAAUAGUUGAUUGAUCGGCAAGUUAAUCUGCAUUUAAAUUAUGAGUAUGAGUCUGAAUAAAAGACACAAAUUUAAAUGUUGCUUAAAUAAGUUGAUGCGAAAU